rnacentral:rRNA from 1 species
GAUGAACGCUGGCGGCGUGCCUAAUACAUGCAAGUCGAGCGAACAGAUAAGGAGCUUGCUCCUUUGACGUUAGCGGCGGACGGGUGAGUAACACGUGGGUAACCUACCUAUAAGACUGGGAUAACUUCGGGAAACCGGAGCUAAUACCGGAUAAUAUUUCGAACCGCAUGGUUCGAUAGUGAAAGAUGGUUUUGCUAUCACUUAUAGAUGGACCCGCGCCGUAUUAGCUAGUUGGUAAGGUACCGGCUUACCAAGGCGACGAUCCGUAGCCGACCUGAGAGGUGGACGGCCACCCCGGAAACGAGAACAGGUCCAGAAUCCUCAGGGGAGGAGGAGGAGGGAAACUUCCGCAAUUGGGGGAAAGCCGAAGGGGGCAAGCCCGGGGAGUGAUUAAGGUCUUCGGGUCGGAAAACCUCUUUAAUAGGGAAAAAAAAACGUGUAAGGAAAUUUGGACGGUUUGAAGGUAACUAAUCAGAAAGCCCCGGCUAACCACGUG